rnacentral:rRNA from 1 species
AGUGAACGCUGGCGGUAGGCCUAACACAUGCAAGUCGAACGGCAGCACAGUAAGAGCUUGCUCUUACGGGUGGCGAGUGGCGGACGGGUGAGGUAUACAUCGGAAUCUACCUUUUCGUGGGGGAUAACGUAGGGAAACUUACGCUAAUACCGCAUACGACCUACGGGUGAAAGCAGGGGAUCUUCGGACCUUGCGCGAUUGAAUGAGCCGAUGUCGGAUUAGCUAGUUGGCGGGGUAAAGGCCCACCAAGGCGACGAUCCGUAGCUGGUCUGAGAGGAUGAUCAGCCACACUGGAACUGAGACACGGUCCAGACUCCUACGGGAGGCAGCAGUGGGGAAUAUUGGACAAUGGGCGCAAGCCUGAUCCAGCCAUACCGCGUGGGUGAAGAAGGCCUUCGGGUUGUAAAGCCCUUUUGUUGGGAAAGAAAAGCAGCAGGUUAAUACCCCGCUGUUCUGACGGUACCCAAAGAAUAAGCACCGGCUAACUUCGUG